rnacentral:tRNA from 1 species
ACCGAAACAGAUCAGUUGGCAGAGCGUUAGAACAUAGAUCGAAAGUUCCUGGUUCGAUCCCGGGAUUGGGCA